AGUGAACGCUGGCGGUAGGCCUGGCACAUGCAAGUCGAACGGCAGCACAGUAAGAGCUUGCUCUUGCGGGUGGCGAGUGGCGGACGGGUGAGGAAUACAUCGGAAUCUACUUUUUCGUGGGGGAUAACGUAGGGAAACUUACGCUAAUACCGCAUACGACCUACGGGUGAAAGCAGGGGAUCUUCGGACCUUGCGCGAUUGAAUGAGCCGAUGUCGGAUUAGCUAGUUGGCGGGGUAAAGGCCCACCAAGGCGACGAUCCGUAGCUGGUCUGAGAGGAUGAUCAGCCACACUGGAACUGAGACACGGUCCAGACUCCUACGGGAGGCAGCAGUGGGGAAUAUUGGACAAUGGGCGCAAGCCUGAUCCAGCCAUACCGCGUGGGUGAAGAAGGCCUUCGGGUUGUAAAGCCCUUUUGUUGGGAAAGAAAAGCAGCAGGUUAAUACCCCGCUGUUCUGACGGUACCCAAAGAAUAAGCACCGGCUAACUUCGUG
rnacentral:rRNA from 1 species